AAGGAUUUUCUUACUUUUUUUAUUUUUAAUUUAUUUGGAGAAAUAACUUUAUAUUUAUAAUAUUUUGAAUAAUGGUUUUUAUAAUAGUUUAUUAGUACCGUGAGGUAAUUGAUGAAAUAUUUUGAAAUAUUUAUUUUUGUUUAAGUAUAUUUCGUUAAUAGUACCUUUUGUAUCAGGGUUGAUUUAUUCUACUUAAUUUAU
rnacentral:rRNA from 1 species